rnacentral:rRNA from 1 species
GGGGGAUAUUGCGCAAUGGGGGCAACCCUGACGCAGCAACGCCGCGUGAAGGAUGAAGGUUUUCGGAUUGUAAACUUCUUUUAUUAAGGACGAAAAAUGACGGUACUUAAUGAAUAAGCUCCGGCUAACUCCGUGCCAGCAGCCGCGGUAAUACGGAGGAUCCGAGCGUUAUCCGGAUUUAUUGGGUUUAAAGGGAGCGUAGGCGGACGCUUAAGUCAGUUGUGAAAGUUUGCGGCUCAACCGUAAAAUUGCAGUUGAUACUGGGUGUCUUGAGUACAGUAGAGGCAGGCGGAAUUCGUGGUGUAGCGGUGAAAUGCUUAGAUAUCACGAAGAACUCCGAUUGCGAAGGCAGCUUGCUGGACUGUAACUGACGCUGAUGCUCGAAAGUGUGGGUAUCAAACAGGAUUAGAUACCCUGGUAGUCCACACAGUAAACGAUGAAUACUCGCUGUUUGCGAUAUACAGUAAGCGGCCAAGCGAAAGCGUUAAGUAUUCCACCUGGGGAGUACGCCGGCAACGGUGAAACUCAAAGGAAUUGACGGGGGCCCGCACAAGCGGAGGAACAUGUGGUUUAAUUCGAUGAUACGCGAGGAACCUUACCCGGGCUUGAAUUGCAACUGAAUGAUGUGGAGACAUGUCAGCCGCAAGGCAGUUGUGAAGGUGCUGCAUGGUUGUCGUCAGCUCGUGCCGUGAGGUGUCGGCUUAAGUGCCAUAACGAGCGCAACCCUUAUCGAUAGUUACCAUCAGGUUAUGCUGGGGACUCUGUCGAGACUGCCGUCGUAAGAUGUGAGGAAGGUGGGGAUGACGUCAAAUCAGCACGGCCCUUACGUCCGGGGCUACACACGUGUUACAAUGGGGGGUACAGAAGGCAGCUACACGGCGACGUGAUGCUAAUCCCGAAAGCCUCUCUCAGUUCGGAUUGGAGUCUGCAACCCGACUCCAUGAAGCUGGAUUCGCUAGUAAUCGCGCAUCAGCCACGGCGCGGUGAAUACGUUCCCG